UCAACGGCCCUUUUCAGGGCCACCAAAUCUAAUUCACUUAAUUUAU
rfam:Rhodnius prolixus Rhodnius_prolixus-3.0.3-144.16, whole genome shotgun sequence.